rnacentral:rRNA from 1 species
GCAAGUCGAAGCGACUGAUUAGAAGCUUGCUUCUAUGACGUUAGCGGCGGACGGGUGAUUAACACGUGGGCAACCUGCCUGUAAGACUGGGAUAACUUCGGGAAACCGAAGCUAAUACCGGAUAGGAUCUUCUCCUUCAUGGGAGAUGAUUGAAAGAUGGUUUCGGCUAUCACUUACAGAUGGGCCCGCGGUGCAUUAGCUAGUUGGUGAGGUAACGGCUCACCAAGGCAACGAUGCAUAGCCGACCUGAGAGGGUGAUCGGCCACACUGGGACUGAGACACGGCCCAGACUCCUACGGGAGGCAGCAGUAGGGAAUCUUCCGCAAUGGACGAAAGUCUGACGGAGCAACGCCGCGUGAGUGAUGAAGGCUUUCGGGUCGUAAAACUCUGUUGUUAGGGAAGAACAAGUACGAGAGUAACUGCUCGUACCUUGACGGUACCUAACCAGAAAGCCACGGCUAACUACGUGCCAGCAGCCGCGGUAAUACGUAGGUGGCAAGCGUUAUCCGGAAUUAUUGGGCGUAAAGCGCGCGCAGGCGGUUUCUUAAGUCUGAUGUGAAAGCCCACGGCUCAACCGUGGAGGGUCAUUGGAAACUGGGGGAACUUGAGUGCAGAAGAGAAAAGCGGAAUUCCACGUGUACCGGUGAAAUGCCUAGAGAUGUGGAGGAACACCAGUGGCGAAGGCGGCUUUUUGGUCUGUAACUGACCGCUGAGGCGCGAAAGCGUGGGGAGCAAACAGGAUUAAAUACCCUUGGUAGUCCACGCCGUAAACGAUGAGUGCUAAGUGUUAGA